GAUGAACGCUGGCGGCGUGCUUAACACAUGCAAGUCGAGCGAGAAGUUUUGAAAAGAUUCUUCGGAUGAAAUUUAAAAUGGAAAGCGGCGGACGGGUGAGUAACGCGUAGGCAACCUGCCCCAUACAAAGGGAUAGCAUUUGGAAACGAAUAUUAAUACCUUAUGAAACUUAACUAGUGCAUGCUAGGUAGGUCAAAGAUUUAUCGGUAUGGGAUGGGCCUGCGUUUGAUUAGCUAGUUGGUGAGGUAACGGCUCACCAAGGCGACGAUCAGUAGCCGACCUGAGAGGGUGAACGGCCACAUUGGAACUGAGACACGGUCCAAACUCCUACGGGAGGCAGCAGUGGGGAAUAUUGCACAAUGGGGGAAACCCUGAUGCAGCAACGCCGCGUGAACGAUGAAGGCCUUUGGGUCGUAAAGUUCUGUUCUAGGUGAUGAAAACUGACAGUAACCUAGGAGAAAGCCCCGGCUAACUCCGUG
rnacentral:rRNA from 1 species